rnacentral:tRNA from 1 species
GGCCUAAUGGCCCAAUGGCAAGGCGCUUGACUACGAUCAGUUCGAAAUCAAGAGAUUCCAGGUUCGACCCCUGGUUAGGUCA